rnacentral:rRNA from 1 species
AUUGAACGCUGGCGGCAGGCCUAACACAUGCAAGUCGAGCGGAGCGGCGGACGGGUGCGUAAUGCCUAGGAAUCUGCCUGGGAGUGGGGGAUAACGUCCGGAAACGGGCGCUAAUACCGCAUACUAUCAGAUGAGCCUGGGUCGGAUUGGCUAGUAGGUGGGGUAAUGGCUCACCUAGGCGACGAUCCCUAGCUGGUCUGAGAGGAUGAUCAGCCACACUGGGACUGAGACACGGCCCAGACUCCUACGGGAGGCAGCAGUGGGGAAUAUUGCACAAUGGGCGCAAGCCUGAUGCAGCCAUGCCGCGUGUAUGAAGAAGGCCCUAGGGUUGUAAAGUACUUUCAGUCGGGAGGCGUUACCGACAGAAGAAGCACCGGCUAACUCCGUGCCAGCAGCCGCGGUAAUAC